UCGUAGGCGACCUGCGGAAGGAUCAUUA
rnacentral:rRNA from 1 species